UAUUUUCAGACCAACUCUUGGUCUUAUCAUCUCUAAUUCUACCCUAAAGUUCUCAGCCGACUGUGUCUAAAAAGGAAUCGAUUGCAAAAUUAACUGAUAAUCAAAAGCCUACGUCUCUGUUUAUCAUCUGUUAAUCGGAAAAUCUGAAUUCUACAAAGAGAGAGCUUGGAAAAAUGAUAGUGAAGAAGUCGAUCUUAUAUGGAUAAAUAUUUACACACUGAUGAUGUUGCCAAAAGAGGAGUAUUAAAAAAGAUAAGUCUUCUGUAAAGAUUAUAAGAGAAAAACAGUUGUUUAUAAAAUAUGUGGUAUUGAUGAUACAAAUUUCAAUUGUGUAUACAGCCCAAGCAUCAUGUCCUUGUCAAAUUCUUAUGGAAGAGGCAGAAACAACGUCAUCUUUUUAGUAAUCAAUUAAAUCUGGGAACUAUGUUAAAGUCGCAUGAAUCAAAGUACCCUGUACGAAGCAAAGAAACAGACUUUAACAUUUGAUGUACACAUAAUAAUUAGAAGAGUAAAUCUAUACUAUUAGUAAGAAGAUGAUUAUAGAUGUAUCAGCAAGAAUCAUCUCGAUAGUCUCCUCGGAGUAUUGGGUGUAUUGAGUCCACGAAUGGACAAUUUUCACUUGGAUGUUCGGUGAUGGGAAGAUUUGCAGCCAUUGUUUGAGAGAUUUCCAAAUCGCAACCGUGAGCAUCAAUCCAGAUCGCAACAGUGAGGAUCAAGCUAAGGACUGGCGGGUCAAGUAUAGGGUCCGCGUGUGGAUCCGUAAGUUAGCCCAUCAUCCUCAUAAAUAACCGAUCCAAUAGCCCAUGAUCCAUGGAUAUUUGUCUAUCAAAUUAUACUUUUAACCUUGCACGUGUUUUUUUAUUUUAGUCUUUGAAUGUAAUUAUCCUAAUGGCAAUCUUUAUAAUUAUUUACACUUAAUAAGGUUAUAUAUUAUAUAAUCCUUCCCAAUUAA